AUGCUAUUAAAAUUUGCAACUGUAGAUCUGGAACUUCAUACAAAAUAUGUUCCUGAGGGACCAGAGUCCAUCUAUGAUGUUGACCGCAGAGUAUCCGAGAAAACUCAAGUGACUCCUCUAUUGCCAGAGGAUAGGUUCCUUUGCAGCUUUAGUCAUAUAUUUGCAGGUGGAUAUGCAGCUGGAUACUACAGCUACAAGAUAUAUUAUGAUAAAUCUGAUAAUUAUGGACAUUUUGCUUCGUAUAAUUGA